GUGGGGAAUCUUAGACAAUGGGCGCAAGCCUGAUCUAGCCAUGCCGCGUGAGUGAAGAAGGCCUUAGGGUCGUAAAGCUCUUUCGCCAGGGAUGAUAAUGACAGUACCUGGUAAAGAAACCCCGGCUAACUCCGUGCCAGCAGCCGCGGUAAUACGGAGGGGGUUAGCGUUGUUCGGAAUUACUGGGCGUAAAGCGCGCGUAGGCGGACAUUUAAGUUAGAGGUGAAAUCCCAGGGCUCAACCCUGGAACUGCCUUUAAUACUGGGUGUCUUGAGUUCGAGAGAGGUGAGUGGAAUUCCGAGUGUAGAGGUGAAAUUCGUAGAUAUUCGGAGGAACACCAGUGGCGAAGGCGGCUCACUGGCUCGAUACUGACGCUGAGGUGCGAAAGCGUGGGGAGCAAACAGGAUUAGAAACCCUAGUAGUCC
rnacentral:rRNA from 1 species